rnacentral:rRNA from 1 species
CAGCCGCCGCGGUAAUACGGAGGGUGCGAGCGUUGUUCGGAUUUACUGGGCGUAAAGGGCGCGUAGGCGGUUUGGCAAGUCAGGUGUGAAAUCCUUCCGCUCAACGGAAGAAGUGCACUUGAAACUGCCAAGCUAGAGUAUGGGAGAGGAGAGCGGAAUUCCCGGUGUAGAGGUGAAAUUCGUAGAUAUCGGGAGGAACACCCGUGGCGAAGGCGGCUCUCUGGCCCAAUACUGACGCUGAGGCGCGAAAGCGUGGGGAGCAAACAGGAUUAGAUACCCUGGUAGUCCACGCCCUAAACGGUGAGAACUAGGUGUGUUGGGUGUUGUACCUGCCGUGCCGAAGCUAACGCAUUAAGUGCCCCGCCUGGGGAGUACGGCCGCAAGGUUGAAACUUAAAGGAAUUGGCGGG